UCUGGUCUGUAACUGACGCUGAGCUCGAAAGUAUGGGUAGCAAACAGGAUUAGAUACCUGGUAGUCCAUACCGUAAACGAUGAAUGCUAAGUGUUGGAGGGUUUCCCCCUUCAGUGCUGCAGCUAACGCAUUAAGCAUUCCGCUGGGGAGUACGGCCGCAAGGCUGAAACUCAAAGGAAUUGACGGGGGCCCGCACAAGCGGUGGAGCAUGUGGUUUAAUUCGAAGCUACGCGAAGAACCUUACCAGGUCUUGACAUACUAUGCAAAUCUAAGAGAUUAGACGUUCCCUUCGGGGACAUGGAUACAGGUGGUGCAUGGUUGUCGUCAGCUCGUGUCGUGAGAUGUUGGGUUAAGUCCCGCAACGAGCGCAACCCUUAUUAUCAGUUGCCAGCAUUAAGUUGGGCACUCUGGUGAGACUGCCGGUGACAAACCGGAGGAAGGUGGGGAUGACGUCAAAUCAUCAUGCCCCUUAUGACCUGGGCUACACACGUGCUACAAUGGAUGGUACAACGAGUUGCGAACUCGCGAGAGUAAGCUAAUCUCUUAAAGCCAUUCUCAGUUCGGAUUGUAGGCUGCAACUCGCCUACAUGAAGUCGGAAUCGCUAGUAAUCGCGGAUCAGCAUGCCGCGGUGAAUACGUUCCCGGGCCUUGUACACACCGCCCGUCACACCAUGAGAGUUUGUAACACCCAAAGUCGGUGGGGUAACCUUUAGGAACCAGCCGCCUAAGGUGGGACAGAUGAUUAGGGUGAAGUCGUAACAAGGUAACCA
rnacentral:rRNA from 1 species